AGUCUGAUUCUGGGAGAUUAAAAUGCAACGGAUGAUACACAGCGAAUGAUGCAGAUGAGUGGGUUUGGCUUUGAUCCAUCAAAGAGCUUGAGUGCCGAGAAAGAUGGUCUUGACAUAGUCCAACAUGAAUGGGCACUCCCUAAAUUCGAGCACCGAGCUGAAGCAGUGUUGAAAAAACUUGUCAGCUGAACAUUAGGAGCGUGAUAAACAACUGUCCGGAGGGGGUAGUUCGAUUGAAGUUUUCAUCUUACGAGCUCACUGAACUGUAAAAGAUGAAACACCUUUAGAAACAAGGGUGGGCUUUGGUAUAUAUUCCAGUUCAAU